rnacentral:lncRNA from 1 species
CUACCAUUCAUAAGGCCACCAUAACAGGGGUUGUUGUUGUUUCUCGAGUUUUUAAAUAUCAAUACGGAUCAAUGUUAAUUCUCUCAGAAAUUUUAAUUUCAAUCAUCACUCAUGUCACACCCCUUUUUUUAACUCCCAAAAAGAUUCGUUUUAAGUUUCGAAAAGGUUUUUAUUAUUAAAGUGACAAAAGAUUAAAAAUUUAUUUCGAAAAAGGACUAUUUACAUUUUUAUUCAUAGUCGCCACUUGACAUAAUCCGGUGUGCCAAGUCGCCUUUGAAAGAUCCUUUUCAAAACAAUUUGACUCUUUAAAUUGGUAUGCGAACAGAGAUUCCGGCUAAAAAAUUCUGUUGACCGAGGGGAAGGUGUUAGGCACCCCCUGAUCCUGUGGUUCGACCACGGUCGCUUGGUAGAGCGUAUCGGAUAAUUUGACAGUACGAAUGUACAAACCACACAAAAAAACAUGUAAAAUAAUCAAACAAACACACAAAACAAAAUAAAUCCAAAGAAAAGUGUUCAGUCCAAUUAUACAGUCCAAAAUAAAUAAAAAUGAGAAAAUAAAUCCUAUCUAACCAACAAUAAUCCUAACUACGCCCGUGCUUUACCCGAUACCUCGGGUCUUCAUCACGAUCAUCUUCCACCAACAUAAUACGUCGGGGCAUUCCCCGGUGAAUAAAUACAAAUGGCUUCGGGGCAUUCCCCGACUAAAUGAGUACAUUUUUUAAUUUUUUGUGCGAUAAAAUAGAACAAACCAUUCACAGACAUAUUCAAAGCACUCAACAAAUCGUAACACCUAAAUUUGCCUACCCCCUACCAUUUGCCUAACAAUUCACAGCCUAAAACAUGAUAUUAUUGAACUUAACAAAGUCGACGUUGAUUUCGAAUCAAGCCAUCGUCACUGAACCAACAUAAACCGAUAUUCACUUUUAACAAUUUUCAAUCGUUUCCCCAAAAUCCAACUUAAUCCCAAAUUCACUAUGUGAUUAACAUGCUUCACACCAAGAUUAACAAUUAAAUAACAAUGAAUAAAAUCAUCUCAACCAAAAAUCACACCAUUCAAAAUAAGAGAGAUAAAAAAAUAUAGAAUUGGACCUCAAUUAUUGGUUUUAUUCCAAACAAGCAGUGAUGGAUCAAAAUCAUGGAGCGACGGAACCUCACGUCGAACCCGUAACUCGAACAAUCUCAAUCUCAGUAUGCCUUCAGUGUCUUCCCCAGAUACCAACUCGGUAUAAAAAAAACUCCAAAAAAAAACACGAUAUCGAAAGACAAAUCGCGAACGAACGAAAACCAAAGUCUCCGAAACCUAACCGAGAGUUGAAAACCAGUCAAAAUCUGAGCUUCGGUGAGCUGUGACGGACGAAAACUGACAGAAAAAGUCGGAUUCCGACGACUGUGUCACCGAAACAGUAACCAGAAACCAUCUCUCUCUCACCCUUCUCGCUCUAUCUCUUUUUUCUCAUCGCGUGUACGGUCCCAAGAAUGGAGGAGUUCUCGUGUGGGUUUGUAUUACCUUCUCUGUGUAUAAAAUCGUGAAAGAUAAAAAACCCCUUUUCCCGUGAAUGCCCAAGAAAGAAUGAAGAAGAUGACCUCUUUUUUUUUCGUGUCUCCCCUGUGAGAUUGUGUGCGUGUGGUGUCGUGUGUAUAGCAGUGGUGAGUGAUGUAUGAAGAAGGUGGAUUUUUGCGAAUUUUUGUGAGUGGUAUCGUGUAGGAGAAAAUAGAAGCUGAUGGUUUG